rnacentral:rRNA from 1 species
GACGUAGGGCGCGAGCGUUGUCCGGAUUUAUUGGGCGUAAAGAGCUCGUAGGCGGUUUGUCGCGUCGGGAGUGAAAACCUCGGGCUUAACUCGGGGCUUGCUUUCGAUACGGGCAGACUGGAGGUAUGCAGGGGAGAACGGAAUUCCUGGUGUAGCGGUGAAAUGCGCAGAUAUCAGGAGGAACACCGGUGGCGAAGGCGGUUCUCUGGGCAUGACCUGACGCUGAGACGCGAAAGCGUGGGGAGCGAACAGG